AGGUACUGGGCUUUGCAGUCUUCUUUGCUUUGGUACUCAAAACUGUUGAUCAAGAAGAUUAUGGAGAUGUUUGGAUUGAUGGGACUCCACCCAACACAGAUGAUCCAGAAGCAAUCAGAAUUGCCAGGAAAGACAGCACAUGGCAAGGAGCAGAAAGUUUUUCCAGUCAUCCAAGAGAUUCUCGCUCCCAUUCUUGUCAGGGGUCACCAAAGCAAUGCAUUCUGGUUAGAAUAUUUGUUCGACUUUCGGUGCAUUCCAAACGGGAUAUAUCGACCUCUGAAGGGCAUUUGGAGUGAAAACAAUCAUGGCCACCGUACUGAAUGGUCGUUCCAAACCGAAGUGCUGGAACUGAUGGACACUUUGGGCUCCCAUGAUCCUUUGCGCAGAUUCUUUGCAUGAUGACGGCGUCUCCGUGUGAGCACGGGGUGAUGACGCAGAAGGGCACUUCAAGAAACAGUU
ensembl:lncRNA